UACGGAGGGGACUAGCGUUGUUCGGAAUUACUGGGCGUAAAGCGCACGUAGGCGGAUUUGUAAGUCAGGGGUGAAAUCCCGGGGCUCAACCUCGGAACUGCCUUUGAUACUGCAAAUCUCGAGUCCGGAAGAGGUGAGUGGAAUUCCUGGUGUAGCGGUGAAAUGCGCAGAUAUCAGGAGGAACACCAAUGGCGAAGGCAGCUCGCUGGGACGGUACUGACGCUGAGACGCGAAAGCGUGGGGAGCAAACAGG
rnacentral:rRNA from 1 species